CUUGAAUACUAUUAUAGAUAGAGAUAAACUGUAAACAACAAUAAUGUUCAGCAAAGUAAGAUUUACAAAUAAGUUAACAUGACCGAAAUGGUUAGUUGACCCAUUUAGGAGUUAUUGCCCUUUAUAGUCAAUUUUUAACAACUUUUCGUCAUUUUUUGUAACUUUUCUAAAAAUCUUCUUCUCCAAAACUACUUUGCCAAAUUUAACCAAACUUGGCCACAAUUAUCAUUGUGGUUUAUAGUUUAAAAAAUGUGUCCGAUGACCCAGCCUGCCAAACAAAAUGGCCGACAUGGCUAAAAUUAGAACAUAGUGGUAAAAUGCAGUUUUUGCUUUAUAUCUUUGAAACUAAGACAUUUAGGGCAAAUCUUUCAAGAUUUAAAUGUCCAUCAGAAUAAGAUAUAUCCCCUCACAAAUUUUGAGUUGAAUCGGACAACCUGUUGUUGGGUUGCUGCCCUAAAAUUGGUGAUUUUAAGGAAAUUUUGCAGUUUUUGGUUAUUAUCUUGAAUACUAUUAUAGAUAGAGAUAAACUGUAAACAGCAAUAAUGUUCAGCAAACUAAGAUCUACAAAUAAGUCAGCAUGAUCAAAAUUGUUAGAGGACCCCUUAAGGAGUUAUUGCCCUUUAUAGUCAAUAUUGAACAACUUUUCGUCAUUUUUGUAACUUGUAUAAAAAUCUUUUCUAAAACGACUUGGCCAAAUUUAACCAAACUUGGCCACAAUCAUAAUACUAGGGUAUCUAUUUUAAAAAAAAAGUGUCUAAUGACCCCGCCUACCAACGAAGAUGGCCGACAUCAGUAAACACAUUAACAGGUGAGCGACACAGGCUCUUGAGAGCCUCUAGUUUUCUCCAUUUA
rnacentral:lncRNA from 1 species